rnacentral:rRNA from 1 species
AACGAACGCUGGCGGCAGGCCUAACACAUGCAAGUCGAGCGCUGUAGCAAUACAGAGCGGCGCACGGGUGAGUAACACGUGGGAACGUGCCCUUUGGUUCGGAAUAACUCAGGGAAACUUGAGCUAAUACCGGAUGAGCCCUAACGGGGAAAGAUUUAUCGCCGAAGGAGCGGCCCGCGUUGGAUUAGCUAGUUGGUGGGGUAAAAGCCUACCAAGGCGACGAUCCAUAGCUGGUUUGAGAGAACGACCAGCCACACUGGGACUGAGACACGGCCCAGACUCCUACGGGAGGCAGCAGUGGGGAAUCUUGGACAAUGGGGGAAACCCUGAUCCAGCCAUGCCGCGUGAGUGAUGAAGGCCCUAGGGUUGUAAAACUCUUUCGGCGGGGACGAUAAUGACGGUACCCGCAGAAGAAGCUCCGGCUAACUUCGUGCCAGCCGCCGCCGUAACAC